UACAGAGACUGCAAGCGUUAUUCGGAUUCACUGGGCGUAAAGGGUGCGCAGGCGGCCAAGUGUGUGAGGCGUGAAAGCCCGGGGCUUAACCCCGGAAUUGCACCUCAAACUACAUGGCUAGAGCAUUGGAGAGGGAUGCAGAAUUCCAGGUGUAGCGGUGAAAUGCGUAGAUAUCUGGAGGAAUACCGGUGGCGAAGGCGGCAUCCUGGACCGACAUUGACGCUGAACGGCGAAAGCUAGGGGAGCAAACGGG
rnacentral:rRNA from 1 species